GUGCAAUUUUGGCUCUCUGCAACCUCCACCUCCCGGGUUCAAGCGAUUCUCCUGACUCAGACUCCCGAAUAGCUGGAAUUACAUGCGUGUGCUACCACGUCCGGCUAAUUUUUGUAUUUUUAGUAGAGACAGCAUUUUGCCAUAUUGCCCAGGCUGGUCUCGAACUCCUGGCCUCAAGUGAUCUGACCGCCUCGGCCUCCCAAAGUGCUGAGAUUACAGGCAUGAGCCACCAUGCCUGGCCUCAAUCUCAUUUUUCUAUCACUGAUCAGUAUUAAAAUUAUCAUGACUCUCUUGGUUUACUUUUUUUUUUUACUUGCGUGUUUUUUUUUCCCUUCCUCUAGAAUGUAAGCUCCAGGAGGGCAAGGACUUCAUCUUGUUCACUUGAAGCUGAAGCCCCAGCAUGUACAAUCCCGUGCUGAGUUGCUGGUUCAUCCCCAGCAUGUACAAUCCCGUGCUGAGUUGCUGGUUCAUCCCCAACAUGUACAAUUCCGUGCUGGGUCGCUGGUUCACCAGCAGAGAGGAGCAUUGAUUCUCUUUGGAAAAGAUAAUCUAUCUACACCCCUGGAACUGUGGCACAGUCUCACGGAGGGCCUGCUUCCAUUCGGGUCAACGGCGAAAAAACGAAUAAACGUGAGCCGCCAUCAGGUGAGGACAUGGAAGCACAGGGAGGUUAUGCCACUCGCCCAAAGACAACUAAUCAGUGACAGCUGAGACUUGGACUGCAGAACCUACACUUUAUAACUAUUUUACAGUUCUGGGCGUCACGGAAUCUUGCAUGAAGAGCCCCUAACCUGGCCCGGGUGGAGGUCAGGGAGGUCUUCCUGGAAGAGGGGGUUCUUGGCAGCAACUUGCUGGAUUUGGUGUUCCCUGUUGGUUGGUCAGUCGCUAGACAGUUAUUCACUGAGCUCUGAGAACAGGCUGGGCCCUGCUCCAGGCCUUGGUUGGACAGCAGGGAACAAGGCUGGGGGAAAUGACUCCCGAGAAAAUGGACAUGUGUGACCCUGGGUUCUGGGAAGGCAGGGAGGGAAGACAAGUACCAGAGGCACAGCGAGGGUCUCUCUGGAGCCACAGGGAGAGGGGAGGGAUGCACAGGCCUGGUGUGCUGCAGGGCCUGAGCCUGUGGCUGCUUCUGGCCAGGAAAGAAGCCAACGUUACUUAAAGAAGUUAUUCAUGUAACCAAAUACCACCUGUUCCCCAAAACCCUAUGGAAAUAAAAAAUUAAAAAAAAUAAAAAAGAGUAAGCAACAACAAAAUAAAUAAAUAAAUAAAUUUAAAAAAUAAUAAAAAAAGAA
rnacentral:lncRNA from 1 species